CCUACGGGGGGCAGCAGUGGGGAAUAUUGGUCAAUGGACGAGAGUCUGAACCAGCCAAGUAGCGUGAAGGAUGACUGCCCUAUGGGUUGUAAACUUCUUUUAUAUGGGAAUAAAAUGUUCCACGUGUGGGAUUUUGUAUGUACCAUAUGAAUAAGGAUCGGCUAACUCCGUGCCAGCAGCCGCGGUAAUACGGAGGAUCCGAGCGUUAUCCGGAUUUAUUGGGUUUAAAGGGAGCGUAGGUGGAUUGUUAAGUCAGUUGUGAAAGUUUGCGGCUCAACCGUAAAAUUGCAGUUGAAACUGGCAGUCUUGAGUACAGUAGAGGUGGGCGGAAUUCGUGGUGUAGCGGUGAAAUGCUUAGAUAUCACGAAGAACUCCGAUUGCGAAGGCAGUUCACUGGACUGCAACUGACACUGAGGCUCGAAAGUGUGGGUAUCAAACAGGAUUAGAUACCCCAGUAGUC
rnacentral:rRNA from 1 species